UGGGGAAUAUUGGGCAAUGGGCGCAAGCCUGACCCAGCAACGCCGCGUGAAGGAUGAAGGCCUUCGGGUUGUAAACUUCUUUGAUCAGGGACGAAACAAAUGACGGUACCUGAAGAACAAGCCACGGCUAACUACGUGCCAGCAGCCGCGGUAAUACGUAGGUGGCGAGCGUUAUCCGGAUUUACUGGGUGUAAAGGGCGUGUAGGCGGGUCUGCAAGUCGGAUGUGAAAUUCCCGGGCUUAACUCGGGCGGGUCAUCCGAAACUGCGGAUCUUGAGUACUGGAGAGGAUAGUGGAAUUCCUAGUGUAGCGGUAAAAUGCGUAGAUAGUAGGAGGAACACCAGUGGCGAAGGCGGCUAUCUGGACAGUAACUGACGCUGAGGUGCGAAAGCGUGGGGAGCAAACA
rnacentral:rRNA from 1 species